AUUGAACGCUGGCGGCAGGCUUAACACAUGCAAGUCGAACGGGGUGAUGGUGCUUGCACUAUCACUUAGCGGCGGACGGGUGAGUAAUGCUUAGGAAUCUGCCUAUUAGUGGGGGACAACAUCUCGAAAGGGAUGCUAAUACCGCAUACGUCCUACGGGAGAAAGCAGGGGAUCACUUGUGACCUUGCGCUAAUAGAUGAGCCUAGGUCGGAUUAGCUAGUUGGUGGGGUAAAGGCCUACCAAGGCGACGAUCUGUAGCGGGUCUGAGAGGAUGAUCCGCCACACUGGGGCUGAGACACGGCCCAGACUCCUACGGGAGGCAGCAGUGGGGAAUAUUGGACAAUGGGGGGAACCCUGAUCCAGCCAUGCCGCGUGUGUGAAGAAGGCCUUAUGGUUGUAAAGCACUUUAAGCGAGGAGGAGGCUCUUUUGGUUAAUACCCAAGAUGAGUGGACGUUACUCGCAGAAUAAGCACCGGCUAACUCUGUGCCAGCCGCCGCCGUAA
rnacentral:rRNA from 1 species